GACAGAGGGUGCAAACGUUGCUCGGAAUUACUGGGCGUAAAGGGCGCGUAGGCGGGUCGUUAAGUUAGAGGUGAAAGCCCAGGGCUCAACCCUGGAAUUGCCUUUAAUACUGUCGACCUUGAGUAUGGCAGAGGUGUGUGGAACUCCGAGUGUAGAGGUGAAAUUCGUAGAUAUUCGGAAGAACACCAGUGGCGAAGGCGACACACUGGGCCAUUACUGACGCUGAGGCGCGAAAGCGUGGGGAGCAAACAGG
rnacentral:rRNA from 1 species